rnacentral:rRNA from 1 species
GAUGAACGCUAGCGGCAGGCUUAACACAUGCAAGUCGAGGGGUAGAAGGAGCUUGCUCCUUUGAGACCGGCGCACGGGUGCGUAACGCGUAUGCAACCUACCUUGAACAGGGGAAUAGCCCAGAGAAAUUUGGAUUAAUGCCCCAUGGCAUCUUCGAGCGGCAUCGCUUGAUUAUUAAAGUAACAACGGUUCAAGAUGGGCAUGCGUCCCAUUAGUUAGUUGGUGAGGUAACGGCUCACCAAGACGAUGAUGGGUAGGGGUCCUGAGAGGGAGAUCCCCCACACUGGUACUGAGACACGGACCAGACUCCUACGGGAGGCAGCAGUGAGGAAUAUUGGUCAAUGGGCGCAAGCCUGAACCAGCCAUGCCGCGUGCAGGACGACGGCCCUAUGGGUUGUAAACUGCUUUUGUACGGGAAGAAACAACGCUUCGUGAAGCGUCUUGACGGUACCGUAAGAAUAAGGAUCGGCUAACUCCGUG